GUCUGUACAUAGUUAAUUGACUCAUUUCGUAGGUACACGUAUGCGGUUGUUUACAUGUCAUUUACACACGGCCUUGAUCCAACAACCCUCUAAGUCGACGGAUUGGUUUUAUAAAAAAUCAAUUUUGGAUUUGCAAUUCGAAUAUUUCGGGCGAGAGCGAAAAAUACACACAGGCGCACCCUCGUCGGUGAUGGUGACGCCACUGAUGGCCUCAUAAUCGUUUUAUUCGCGGCGUCUUUGGUUUUCCGUUCUAAAUGUCCGCUCCGAUUGAACUCACCCCUAUCCUCUUCAAAGUCUUAUCCGGAUAAUUGUUUGUAAAUCGCCGAUGGAGCAAUUGAACUGAACAAAGCACCCUCGGGGAAAAAAACAUCUAGUGGACGUGCAAAUCGUUUUCAAUGCCACAGACGAUAUUUUAAACGAACGUGUGACAUUAUCUGAUAACCCCGGGGUGCC